rnacentral:rRNA from 1 species
UACAGAGGUCCCAAGCGUUGUUCGGAAUUACUGGGCGUAAAGGGCGCGUAGGCGGCCUACUAAGUCGGACGUGAAAUCCCUCGGCUCAACCGGGGAACUGCGUCCGAUACUGGUGGGCUCGAAUCCGGGAGAGGGAUGUGGAAUUCCAGGUGUAGCGGUGAAAUGCGUAGAUAUCUGGAGGAACACCGGUGGCGAAGGCGGCAUCCUGGACCGAUAUUGACGCUGAGGAGCGAAAGCCAGGGGAGCAAACGGG